CCUACGGGAGGCAGCAGUAGGGAAUAUUGCUCAAUGGGGGAAACCCUGAAGCAGCAACGCCGCGUGGAGGAUGAAGGUUUUCGGAUUGUAAACUCCUUUUGUUAGAGAAGAUAAUGACGGUAUCUAACGAAUAAGCACCGGCUAACUCCGUGCCAGCAGCCGCGGUAAUACGGAGGGUGCAAGCGUUACUCGGAAUCACUGGGCGUAAAGAGCGCGUAGGCGGGAUAGCAAGUCAGAUGUGAAAUCCUAUGGCUUAACCAUAGAACUGCAUUUGAAACUGGUAUUCUAGAGUAUGGGAGAGGUAGGUGGAAUGCUUGGUGUAGGGGUAAAAUGCGUAGAGAUCAAGAGGAAUACUCAUUGCGAAGGCGACCUGCUAGAACAUAACUGACGCUGAUGCGCGAAAGCGUGGGGAGCAAACAGGAUUAGAUACCCGGGUAGUC
rnacentral:rRNA from 1 species